ACAAGCGGUGGAUGAUGUGGAUUAAUUCGAUGCAACGCGAAGAACCUUACUACCCUUGACAUGUCCGGAACUUGCCAGAGAUGGCUUGGUGCCCGAAAGGGAAUCGGAACACAGGUGCUGCAUGGCUGUCGUCAGCUCGUGUCGUGAGAUGUUGGGUUAAGUCCCGCAACGAGCGCAACCCUUAUCAUUAGUUGCUACGCAAGGGCACUCUAAUGAGACUGCCGGUGACAAACCGGAGGAAGGUGGGGAUGACGUCAAGUCCUCAUGGCCCUUAUAGGUGGGGCUACACACGUCAUGCAAUGGCCGGUACAGAGGGUAGCCAACCCGCGAGGGGGAGCCAAUCCCACAAAGCCGGUCGUAGUCCGGAUCGCAGUCUGCAACUCGACUGCGUGAAGUCGGAAUCGCUAGUAAUCGCGGAUCAGCAUGUCGCGGUGAAUACGUUCCCGGGUCUU
rnacentral:rRNA from 1 species